rnacentral:tRNA from 1 species
UCCCAGGUGGCGCUAUUGGUAAAGAAGCUGCCUGCAAUGCAGGAGACCCAGGUUUGAUCCCUGGCUUGGGAA